rnacentral:rRNA from 1 species
GAUGAACGCUGGCGGCGUGCCUAAUACAUGCAAGUCGAGCGAACGGACGAGAAGCUUGCUUUUCUGAUGUUAGCGGCGGACGGGUGAGUAACACGUGGAUAACCUACCUAUAAGACUGGGAUAACUUCGGGAAACCGGAGCUAAUACCGGAUAAUAUUUUGAACCGCAUGGUUCAAAAUUGAAAGACGGUCUUGCUGUCACUUAUAGAUGGAUCCGCGCUUCAUUAGCUAGUUGGUAAGGUAACGGCUUACCAAGGCAACGAUGCAUAGCCGACCUGAGAGGGUGAGCGGCCACACUGGAACUGAGACACGGUACAGACUCCUACGGGAGGCAGCAGUAGGGAAUCUUCCGCAAUGGGCGAAAGCCUGACGGAGCAACGCCGCGUGAGUGAUGAAGGUCUUCGGAUCGUAAAACUCUGUUAUUAGGGAAGAACAUAUGUGUAAGUAACUGUGCACAUCUUGACGGUACCUAAUCAGAAAGCCACGGCUAACUACGUG